UAUUUAUAGUUUACAUUCGACUUAAAAUCUAAGCAAUCACUAGAAUGUUCCACAAGUAAACUAAAACAGAGUAGCUUAAAAUCCAAGCAAAAGCAGCAAAAGUAGUUCUGGAGGGUGGCACGGCCGUGCCAAGCCUAGCACGGGCCGUGCCAAGUUUCUGACUUGAGGGAGAUAUAUUUUUGUCUCCGAAUCUUCGUAUUUUCGUACCGAAUCAGCUCCAAAACCCCUUUCUUUUGCUCCAAGACUCAAUGCAUCAAAUAUUCGUUCCUGAAAUAUAACAAUAUGCAAUUGUAGUAAAAUAGCUCAAAAAGGAAAUAAUAUUAAAAUAAAAUAAACUUAAAUCUAAAUAAAACGAAACUAAAU
rnacentral:lncRNA from 1 species